UACGAAGGGGGCGAGCGUUGUUCGGAAUCACUGGGCGUAAAGGGCGCGUAGGCGGCCCUCUUAGUCGCGUGUGAAAGCCCCGGGCUCAACCUGGGAACGGCGCGCGAAACGGGAGGGCUGGAGUUCGGGAGAGGAGAGUGGAAUUCCCAGUGUAGAGGUGAAAUUCGUAGAUAUCAGGAAGAACACCAAUGGCGAAGGCAGCUCUCUGGGACGGUACUGACGCUGAGACGCGAAAGCGUGGGGAGCGAACAGG
rnacentral:rRNA from 1 species